UCAGACUUGUGCUCUUCCGAAUCGGGAUAUUAAAAAUAUCGGUUGGCGAGGGAUUAUUAACGCGAGAAUCAUUCUACUUACUCGAACUAUCAAGAAUCAGAGACGCGAAGUCGACUUGAAAUCGAUGCAAUAUCAUAGGAUCUAAGAGCCGAUGUCUACUAAGACAGAUUUCGAUGUAUUAAUUGUUAAACGAUUCCCUAGAUAGGAAGGUGUUCGUUUUGCCUAGUUGCAUAAUUGGUUAAAAACCUUUUUAUUUAUCAAAACGAGGACAAGAUUUUAGAAUGUAAAAGUUCGAAGUCCUAAAUACCGUAGUAAGAUUACCAAACGUAUUUUAUACAUGUUCAUAGACAGAUUAUUAUGGCAUAUUUAUCGCGACAUUAAGUAACACAGACUCGUAGACAAUGCGGAGGUUUACGCAAGAUCAUCGACUUUCGGUAUAAAUUACCGCGACAUUUAGCUGGAAUACUUCUGAUGCAUGCGAUACAUAAUAUCCUCUAAUGUUCCACUGAGCGGUAACAUCGCACCCCCAAGCGACAGUGAAAUAUGAGCACGCCUCUUUCUACGUGCUCACACACGACAGUGCUCUCGAAAUACACAAGAGAAAGCUCAGGUGCGGCGACGCUUAAUUUGAAACGUUUUCCCGGCGAAAUUCGACGCUAAUCACCGACUAAAAGUCCGAACGUCAGUCGGGAAAAUCCUUUGUACCGUUUAUUAACGCAGCGCCAGCUAAUUGCACGGUGAUUCUGCACUGAUAAACCAUUCUACUAUGACUGCUGAAGAUUAAAUACCGUAGAAUCCUUACAAGACGACUCGAAGAACGUUACCAUGCGAGCAAAGUAAACGAAAAUAAAUCGUGUUGCACGAUCUUCGAGUAGAAAACGUUGCUCCAAGUUCUUUCUUGAUGUUCAAAUAAAUAAUCAUCUCUCUUUUACUGUUAUAAGUUGUAUUAACGAUAAGCCUGGUUUUAGAACAUGUCAUUCAUCAUUAUGCUAACUGUUCUCUCCAAGCUUAAAUCUUAUAUCAUCGACUAAUCGCUUCUAUCAUCUUCCUGUACCACAAGUUUCACGUAUGAUACAUUGAACUUGGAAUAAGCCGCAGGACUUGCGAUUAGUAACAUUCAAUGUACUUUAAA